rnacentral:rRNA from 1 species
GACGAACGCUGGCGGCGUGCUUAACACAUGCAAGUCGAACGGAAAGGCCCUGCUUUUGUGGGGUGCUCGAGUGGCGAACGGGUGAGUAACACGUGAGUAACCUGCCCUUGACUUUGGGAUAACUUCAGGAAACUGGGGCUAAUACCGGAUAUGAGCUCCUGCUGCAUGUUGGGGGUUGGUAAGUUUCGGCGGUUGGGGAUUGACUCGCGGCUUAUCAGCUUGUUGGUGGGGUAGUGGCUUACCAAGGCUUUGACGGGUAGCCGGCCUGAGAGGGUGACGGGCCACAUUGGGACUGAGAUACGGCGCAGACUCCUACGGGAGGCAGCAGUGGGGAAUAUUGCACAAUGGGCGGAAGCCUGAUGCAGAAACGCCGCGUGCGGGAUGACGGCCUUCGGGUUGUAAACCGCUUUCGCCUGUGACGAAGCGUGAGUGACGGUAAUGGGUAAAGAAGCACCGGCUAACUACGUG